rnacentral:piRNA from 1 species
UGCCACAGGGAGGACGCCUGAUAGGUGCUGU